rnacentral:rRNA from 1 species
UGAAUUAUUUUAAUAAUUACAACUUUCAACAACGGAUCUCUUGGUUCUGGCAUCGAUGAAGAACGCAGCGAAAUGCGAUAAGUAGUGUGAAUUGCAGAAUUCAGUGAAUCAUCGAAUCUUUGAACGCACAUUGCGCCCCUUGGUAUUCCAUGGGGCAU